rnacentral:sRNA from 1 species
UUAUUUUCUCCACCGGGGGGGAUGAGAACCCCCGACCGGGGUUCGACAACUGGCAACGCCAGUUGGACAGACCGCGAGCCUGCGAGCGGGCUGCCCCGCAGGGGCGAGCGAAGCGAGUCAAUCCCCCCCUCACCGCCA